GAGCGGUCUAAGGCGCUGGAUUAAGGCUCCAGUCUCUUCGGGGGCGUGGGUUCGAAUCCCACCGCUGCCAGGGUUGCUGUCUUUUUGUCCCCGCUGCAUACACUCCCGGCUCAGUUUUGCGCGUGCCAUCAGCGCCCCCUGCUGCAGGGCGGGGCUCACGGCCUGCAUGAAUGGCGCGGCGGAGGGGGCGGAGCCGCGUGCACCGGGGCGGGGCAUUGUGGGUAAGAGGAAACGCUGGGGCCGGCCCGCUCCCCCCCACGUGUCCGCCGGAGUUUCUCCACCAGCAACAUGGCCGCCGCCUGAGAGGAGAGCCGGGCCGCCGCCGCCUCUGCAGCCCGCGGGUAACUGGGCCGUUGCCGCCGUCCGCGCUCGGCCCCCGCGGAGAGAUCGAGCUGAAGGACUGCGCGGCUGGCUCUCCUCUAGUAUGGCCAAUGAAGAGGAUGACCCAGUUGUACAGGAGAUCGAUGUGUACUUGGCCAAGAGUCUGGCGGAAAAGCUGUAUCUAUUUCAGUACCCUGUGCGUCCAGCCUCGAUGACCUAUGAUGACAUUCCGCACCUCUCAGCCAAGAUCAAGCCCAAGCAGCAGAAGGUAGAGCUUGAGAUGGCCAUCGACACCCUGAACCCCAACUAUUGCCGCAGCAAAGGGGAGCAGAUUGCGCUGAACGUGGACGGGGCCUGUGCCGAUGAGACCAGCACGUAUUCCUCGAAGCUGAUGGACAAGCAGACCUUCUGCUCUUCCCAGACCACCAGUAACACAUCCCGUUAUGCCGCUGCACUCUACAGGCAAGGUGAGCUCCACCUGACACCUUUACAUGGCAUCCUGCAGCUGCGGCCCAGCUUCUCCUACCUGGAUAAGGCUGACGCCAAGCACCGGGAGAGGGAGGCGGCCAACGAGGCAGGGGACUCUUCACAGGAUGAGGCGGAAGACGAUGUUAAGCAGAUCACGGUGCGGUUCUCCCGGCCGGAGUCAGAGCAGGCCCGCCAGCGCCGUGUGCAGUCCUAUGAGUUCCUGCAGAAGAAGCACGCAGAGGAGCCCUGGGUCCACCUGCAUUACUAUGGCCUGAGGGACAGUCGCUCUGAGCAUGAGCGUCAGUACCUGCUGUGCCCUGGCUCGAGCGGGGUGGAGAACACGGAGCUCGUCAAGUCACCCAGUGAGUACCUGAUGAUGCUGAUGCCACCCAGCCAGGAGGAGGAGAAAGACAAGCCUGUGGCCCCCAGCAACGUCCUGUCGAUGGCCCAGCUGCGCACGCUGCCCCUGGCCGAUCAGAUCAAGAUCCUGAUGAAGAAUGUGAAGGUCAUGCCUUUUGCCAACUUGAUGAGCCUCCUGGGCCCCUCCAUCGAUUCCGUGGCUGUUCUGCGGGGCAUCCAGAAGGUGGCGAUGUUGGUCCAAGGGAACUGGGUGGUGAAGAGUGACAUCCUAUACCCCAAGGACUCAUCCAGCCCUCACAGCGGCGUGCCUGCUGAGGUGCUCUGCAGGGGCCGAGACUUCGUUAUGUGGAAGUUCACGCAGAGCCGCUGGGUGGUUAGGAAAGAGGUGGCAACCGUGACCAAACUCUGCGCCGAGGAUGUGAAGGACUUCCUGGAGCACAUGGCCGUGGUGAGGAUCAACAAAGGCUGGGAGUUCAUUCUGCCUUAUGAUGGGGAGUUCAUCAAGAAGCACCCGGAUGUGGUCCAGCGGCAGCACAUGCUGUGGACGGGUAUCCAGGCCAAACUGGAAAAAGUCUAUAAUCUUGUAAAGGAAACCAUGCCAAAGAAGCCGGAUGCACAAUCAGGGCCUGCCGGGCUGGUCUCUGGGGACCAGCGGAUCCAAGUAGCCAAAACCAAGGCCCAGCAGAACCACGCGUUGCUGGAGCGGGAGCUGCAGCGGCGGAAGGAGCAGCUGCGGGUGCCUGCGGUCCCGCCCGGUGUGCGGAUCAAGGAGGAGCCCGUGAGCGAGGAGGACGAGGAGCAGGAGGUGGAGGAGGAGCCCAUGGACACUUCCCCCAGCGGCCUCCACAGCAAGCUGGCCAACGGGCUGCCUCUCGGGCGGGCUGCGGGCACAGACAGCUUCAACGGGCACCCGCCCCAGGGCUGCGCCAGCACCCCUGUGGCUCGGGAACUGAAGGCCUUCGUGGAGGCCACCUUUCAGAGACAGUUUGUGCUCACGCUGAGCGAACUCAAGCGCCUCUUCAAUCUGCACUUGGCCAGCCUGCCCCCCGGCCACACACUCUUCAGCGGCAUCUCGGACCGCAUGCUACAGGACACGGUGCUGGCCGCCGGUUGCAAGCAGAUACUGGUGCCUAUGAAGAAACUGAGGCUCCAAGGAAUGAAAUGUACGUUUAAAGGUCACUACCUAGGAGGUAGUAGAGCUGGAAUUUGGACCUCAGUAUAGUGGCCUGGAGUUUUGAAUCCUUUCUGCUCAGCUAAGAUGAGCUGCUUCCCCACAGCUGCGCCACGCCCCAGCUUGGGCCUGGGUCCUGGCGGCCUCCCUGUGCAUCAGAAGCAAGCUGACCAGCUCAGCGCUGUGCUCUCAGCACUUCCAGUGCCAGGCCUUGAGUGUGGUAUUGCAAGCCUCCUGCCCCUUCCCCCUGGGCUGCUUUUCUGUCACUGGGAGGGGCCCUGACGGGGGAGCAGAGUGCUUGCUGGGGACUGUUUCCCUGCGCUGAGGAUAGAGAGCGCCAGGUGCUGCCUGAGGCACGCCUUUCCCGUGCUCCUUUUCCACAAGGCUCUGCCCAGACCUGGCAGCAAAAUGGGGUGAGGUGGGGCUGUGGUGGUCUCUAAGAAAGCAUUGAUGUUUUCAUUGCCAAGGUCAGGAGCGCCUGCAGCCUUGGGUGAUGAUCUGAGGCCAAGGCCCAUCCCUGUGUAUGAGGAAUAGAAACUAGGACAGGAGGCCGUGUGGAGCCUAGGCUGUCUCAGGGGAUCGGCCCUGCUGGCAGGCGGCCCCCUGUGGGAGGUACUGGCAGAGUUCGGAGCUCCUGCCCACCCGGCACAUGGGUCUGGGUCUCCACAAGCUCACCUUUCUUCAUGAGCUGGGCCAGGCCGGGGAGGACACCUGCCUGACAUUAGUGAGUUGUUUUGGGCCGCUGGAGUGGACAGAGGUGAGGGGUGGGACAUGGCCACCCUCAGACACCCUGACCCCUCCUUCCGGACCCCCUCUGUCCAUGUUGCUUUGGGGUGGGGCCAGUGUCUCCAGGAGACACCAUGGCCCUAACUGUAAUGCUCUCCUUGCCAUCCUGACAAGGAGACUGUAUUGUAGUCACACCAAGAGACCUCAGAUCCCAGCCACCUCUGUGUUGUACAUGAGGGAGCUGAGGUCCAGGGCAAGUGAAUAGAUGGAGAACUUGACUUGAACUCCUGGUUCUGCUGCUUAUUAGCUGUGUGACCAUGGACAGUGAGCAAACCUCUCUGAGCUUACUUUUCCCCAUGUACUACCUCCCCAGUUUCUAAUGCUCAAAUGCAAAUGUGUAUUGGAGGCCUCACAGGGCUUUUACUGGUAGUAACCAUUAUUGCUACUUGUGUGAUGGAACCAGGACUGGAAACUACCAUCCCAGAUGCCCCCUCCCCUGUCCCCUUCUCUCCAGGACCCAGGCCUGUGUCACACUUGUCCUGGUCUACCUUUGGACCAAGUGGCCUGGAUUGCUUGGGAGUCAGGCAGUGCCUCUAACCCACACUGACACGGUACUUGUGGGAAGCAGUUGAAAAGAACCCCCAGGGUACCCCAAGAGUUAUGGGGAAGGGGGCGCCCCUCCAUCAGGGUUGGCAUCUUCAGGAGGGAGGACUCUGGGUGUUAAAGCACAGUUGAGUUGGUGCCAGGCUGAUGGGAAACAGACGCAGCUUCCCCACUGUACGGAGGAUAUCUGCAGAUUCGAAGCCGGGCAUUUCACUGGGCCCAUCACACUCCCCCUCUCUCUGGAGCCCUGUCAGGCCCUGGGGGGUGUGCCGGCCUCCUCCCCAUGGUGAGGUGAGAGGCGCAGGUUUGUGGCUGCCCAAGUCCCUCAGAGAUGGUGAGUAGCAGAAGCUGGGAUUGGAACCCAUGUUCCUGCAUCUGGGCUGGGGCAGACAGGGAGGGAUGAGGCAAGCAAAUGGAUCCAUGGGGUAGAGAUGGACAAGCAACUCACACCUGGGCCUUGGUCAGUUUCCCCCACAGACUGCUGCUUCCCCGGAUGAGCAGAAGGUGUUUGCCCUCUGGGAGUCUGGAGACAUGAGUGAUCAGCAUCGACAGGUUUUGCUUGAAAUUUUUUCCAAAAAUUACCGGGUACGCCGAAACAUGAUCCAGUCUCGGUUGACUCAAGAGUGUGGAGAAGAUCUCAGUAAACAGGAGGUGGAUAAAGUACUAAAGGACUGCUGUGUAAGCUAUGGUGGCAUGUGGUACCUUAAAGGGACAGUACAGUCUUGACAAUAGUAGCAAACUACUAACCCAGCAAAUCUAAGCCCAAGGAAGAAGGGCGGAACCAGAAGUAGGGCCUCAACUUGCUUCAGACGACACAGAGCAAGAGGAACUGACCAUCUCAUGACCUGUGGCAUUGCACGGUGCAGUGGACAGAAGGGAUUAUCCUCAGCCAGUCGCAGGGUCAGCUUAAGUUAGAUCACUCCCAGAAGAGACCAGCUGGGACCUUCUUUGCAGUACAAUUUGAAAUUCCUGAUGUAUUUUGCUUAUUAUUUGGUUUCAUUCUCAUAAUAAAGAGAGUGUAUACUGACAUGGGCAGGAUGAUAAAAAUCAUGGUUUAAUAUUUUCUUUUGUAAACUUAAUGCCAACAAGGUCUAAGUUAUGUUUACAACAUGAAGAAAACCUCAAAGUUCUUAAUUUUUAAAAUGCCUAGAAGACAAUAUUUAGUCUUGGAUUAUCUAUCUGCUAAGACCUCCACCAAUUUCAUUAAACCAAAUUGAAUUAUUCUAUUCUUGGGAUUCUGUGGCCACUUCACCUUUGACAACAACCUACUUUAUGUAGCAGUCUCAACUGUUUACAUGAACCAUAGCAAAAAAAUCAGAAUCAAAUCCAUCUCCUUUUAAUGUUUGCAGAAAGAUGCAAACAAAACCAGGUAAGUAUGGAACAAUGUGUAAGUGAGGUUAUCACACUUUGAUGUAAAAAUUUCUAUUUUGUGUAUUUUUAAAAUAAAUGCAAACACUAAACUAGCA